GAUGAAGAACGUAGCGAAAUGCGAUACGUAAUGUGAAUUGCAAAUUCAGUGAAUCAUCGAGUCUUUGAACGCACAUUGCGCCCCCUGGUAUUCCGGGGGGCAUGCCUGUUCGAGCGUCAUUUACCCCUCAAGCACUGCUUGGUGUUGGGCGUCUGUCCCGCUUCGCGCGCGGACUCGCCCCAAAGGUAUUGGCAGCGGUCGUGCCAGCUUCUCGCGCAGCACAUUGCGCUUCUCGAGGCGGUCGAUCGGCGUCCACGAAGCUCACCUCCACCGUUUGACCUCGGAUCAGGUAGGGAUACCCGCUGAACUUAAGCAUAUCAAUAAGCGGAGGA
rnacentral:misc_RNA from 1 species